GGCCAGAAGUAUCCCUGCCUUAUUAUUCUUUGGGCCAGAGAUCUUCCCCCCUGAUGUAUUCCGCAUACUCCUUGAUGAAUCUCUUCUACAAUGAAUUGUCCUUCUUCUGUUGAGACACAUUUCAUUAGAGGUCCGUCGUAGGAUUUCUUAUACAGAAUAUCACCGAUCAGGCAGAAACUUGAAACGCGUGUUUGCAACUUGCGUUUUUCAUUCUUAUUUUCAGGAAGUUUCUGUCCCUUGAAGUAUUCUAUCAAGGGCUUCCUCUAGUCUUCUUCCUGGAUCGUGACUAAGUUACAAAAAGGUGUAGAUGCUGAGUCAACUAGUAUCUCUCUUUGCCCCCCCUCGAAAGCAGAAGCUAGCUUUGCCAGGUGGUGAGACAUGCCUGAUUACGUCAGUCACUCCCAGCAACGCCCUUCAAACAAGGA
rnacentral:lncRNA from 1 species